rnacentral:tRNA from 1 species
GGUCCAGUGGGAGAAUGGUUAUCCGAUGGAUUGCAAAUCCAUUUACAUCAGUUCGAUUCUGAUCUGGACCUCGA